UACGGAGGGAGCUAGCGUUGUUCGGAAUUACUGGGCGUAAAGCGCACGUAGGCGGCGAUUCAAGUCAGAGGUGAAAGCCCGGGGCUCAACCCGGAACUGCCUUUGAAACUAGAUUGGCUAGAAUCCUGGAGAGGUGAGUGGAAUUCCGAGUGUAGAGGUGAAAUUCGUAGAUAUUCGGAGGAACACCAGUGGCGAAGGCGGCUCACUGGUCCAUUACUGACGCUGAGGUGCGAAAGCGUGGGGAGCAACAGG
rnacentral:rRNA from 1 species